AUUGAACGCUGGCGGCAUGCCUUACACAUGCAAGUCGAACGGUAACAGGUCUUCGGAUGCUGACGAGUGGCGAACGGGUGAGUAAUACAUCGGAACGUGCCCGAUCGUGGGGGGAUAACGCAGCGAAAGCUGUGCUAAUACCGCAUACGAUCUACGGAUGAAAGCGGGGGACUCGCAAGGGCCUCGCGCGGACGGAGCGGCCGAUGGCAGAUUAGGUAGUUGGUGGGAUAAAAAGCUUACCAAGCCGACGAUCUGUAGCUGGUCUGAGAGGACGACCAGCCACACUGGGACUGAGACACGGCCCAGACUCCUACGGGAGGCAGCAGUGGGGAAUUUUGGACAAUGGGCGCAAGCCUGAUCCAGCCAUGCCGCGUGCAGGAUGAAGGUCUUCGGAUUGUAAAGUUCAAUAAGUGGGAAAAAAAUAAAGCCCGUAAGGGUGAUGAUGGUACCCAUCUAAAGACACCGGCUAACUACGUGCCAGCAGCCGCGGUAAU
rnacentral:rRNA from 1 species